rnacentral:rRNA from 1 species
GUGCCAGCCGCCGCGGUAAUACCGGCAGCCCAAGUGAUGGCCGCUGUUAUUGGGCCUAAAGCGUCCGUAGCUGGCCGCACAAGUCCAUCGGGAAAUCCACCCGCCCAACGGGUGGCCGUCCGGUGGAAACUGCACGGCUUGGGACCGGAAGGCGCGAUGGGUACGUCCAGGGUAGGAGUGAAAUCCCGUAAUCCUGGACGGACCGCCGAUGGCGAAAGCACGUCGCGAAGACGGAUCCGACAGUGAGGGACGAAAGCUAGGGUCUCGAACCGGAUUAGAUACCCUAGUAGUCC